rnacentral:lncRNA from 1 species
UUAAUGCAAGGAUCUUAGUGGAUUUAUGCAUGAUCAGAGUAAUAAGGUUAACUAGCGAUACACUACAAGUUCGAACGAUUUUCCCCUUGUCCAAUUGCGAUACCAGGAGCUUCUCUGCCUGCAACACAAGUAUUCCGGUAGAGUGCAUCUUCAUACUCGUUAGUCGUGUGCUUGAGGCAUUUGUGCAGAGUGUUAAAACCUUCAAAAGUUGGUUGUAUUGUUUGAUAUCUCAUGUGUUAGUAUUGGGAUGAAUAACAUGAAUUAAUAAGACUGAUUUGGGCUGAAUCUGUAACGACGUCAAUUACCUGACUUGCAAUGUCUAGCCAGGCGCCCUCGUCCAUCGCAACCAUCGUUUCAUCAAGGAAGACAAGCUGUUGGAAGAGCAAAUCCACACAAGACGUAACUGUAGAUUCAGAUGCCUUCAUGCCUUGCAAAAGAAUGAACCGCCUCAGGAUGCU